rnacentral:rRNA from 1 species
UACAGAGGUCUCAAGCGUUGUUCGGAUUCAUUGGGCGUAAAGGGUGCGUAGGUGGCGCCGUAAGUCGGGUGUGAAAUUUCGGAGCUUAACUCCGAAACUGCAUUCGAUACUGCGGUGCUUGAGGACUGGAGAGGAGACUGGAAUUCAUGGUGUAGCAGUGAAAUGCGUAGAGAUCAUGAGGAAGACCAGUGGCGAAGGCGGGUCUCUGGACAGUUCCUGACACUGAGGCACGAAGGCCAGGGGAGCGAACGGG